UAAUGAUUUAAAGCUGGGCUGGAGAGUUGCAGGCUGCAUGUGGGUCCUAGCAGUGAAAUGAGAGGUAAUGUGGAGGCUGAGCUGAGAGGCAGAGAUUGCUCUAAUGAAAGGCGUCACGGUGACACUGCAUGAACUUAAUAUUUAGCCAGUGACGUCUGCACUCCACAAGAACCCAAGGGAGGCAAUUAGGAGAGCUGGGGAAGGAGGGAAUAAUUUUACCUGUCAGACAAACCCUUCACCCUAUUUCAGUGCUUCUUUGAGGCACAUCUAUGUUCCUGGCUGUGGAAGGAGCCAGUGGGGACAGGACCUUGGACAUAAACAAGGUUUCAAGCAGCCUGAACCAUCUGAGGUCCCUCCCUGAUUGUUUUUAGGACAAACCCCUACUGCAGGCACUGGAAAGAAUUUCAAAUAAGUGGCCAAAUAUCUCAGGAACUUGGUUCUGGUGCCCUGGAUCAACCAGCAGUGAUGGGAGCCCACUGGUAUGUGUGUGGAGGGGAGCAGAGACAGAAAGGAAGUAAUAUUGAGUCACAGCAGUCAAGAAGGAUCAAAGAUUGGCUAUUUUUGACACACAAAAGGAGCAUCCAUUUCACUGCUCCAAGCAGCAGAGAAGCUGUGGCACAUCUUAAUGCUACUGGGAAAAAUCAGCUCGUGAAGGUGUUGGCUUUCCUUCUGCUGCCAUGAUUGCUUUUAUUCCCAGAGGAAAGUCAUCCAAGUAGAAGAAGAGAAGCCUCAAAGCUUAAAGUGGAGCUGCUGAGAUAUUUGCUCUAUGUUUUGGGCUUUUUACAAAGUGGUCUGGAUCAAGGCUGGAAAUUGUGAUUGUUGUGUAAAAGCCUGAGAUUUCAGGGCAGUGCUGGUUUCUGGGCAUAUACUUGGGAGUGAGAAAUGCUAAGACUGUGCUUGCUGAACUUGAACCUCUUUUCAUUGGCAACAGAAAAUUUUGUCAGGUUGUUCCUCUCCACCUCAUGUGAAGACCAUCUACCUAUUAUAAUCACUUAAUAAAUAAACUUGCUCCCUAUCUCUGCUUGCCUGG
rnacentral:lncRNA from 1 species